ensembl:snRNA
GUGUGCUAUGAAAGGAGAGAAGGCUAGCACUCCCCUUGACAAGAAUGGAAGGGGCCCUUGGGCCUGACAACUAUUAAGGCAUUGCCACCUACUUCCAAGGACAUUUUAUUAAGUACCUUUU